rnacentral:rRNA from 1 species
GACGGUACAGGGUGAUAGUCCCGUACACCAAAAUGCACAGGCUGUGAACUCGAAGAGUAGGGCGGGACACGUGGUAUCCUGUCUGAAUAUGGGGGGACCAUCCUCCAAGGCUAAAUACUCCUGACUGACCGAUAGUGAACCAGUACCGUGAGGGAAAGGCGAAAAGAACCCCGGCGAGGGGAGUGAAAAAGAACCUGAAACCGUGUACGUACAAGCAGUGGGAGCACCUUCGGGUGUGACUGCGUACCUUUUGUAUAAUGGGUCAGCGACUUAUAUUCUGUAGCAAGGUUAACCGUAUAGGGGAGCCGCAGGGAAACCGAGUCUUAACUGGGCGUUAAGUUGCAGGGUAUAGACCCGAAACCCGGUGAUCUAGCCAUGGG